rnacentral:rRNA from 1 species
GGUUGACCUCGGAUCAGGUAGGGAUACCCGCUGAACUUAAGCAUAUCAAUAAGCGGAGGAAAAGAAACCAACAGGGAUUGCCUCAGUAACGGCGAGUGAAGCGGCAACAGCUCAAAUUUGAAAGCUGGCCCUUUCAGGGUCCGCGUUGUAAUUUGUAGAGGAUGAUUCGGCGAGGGCUCCCGCCUAAGUCCCCUGGAACGGGGCGUCGUAGAGGGUGAGAAUCCCGUAUGCGGUGGGCCGCCUUAGCCAUGUGAAUCUCCUUCGACGAGUCGAGUUGUUUGGGAAUGCAGCUCUAAAUGGGAGGUAAAUUUCUUCUAAAGCUAAAUACCGGCCAGAGACCGAUAGCGCACAAGUAGAGUGAUCGAAAGAUGAAAAGCACUUUGGAAAGAGAGUUAAAAAGUACGUGAAAUUGUUGAAAGGGAAGCGCUUGCAACCAGACUUGUCCGCAGUUGCUCAGCCGGUCUCCUGACCGGCGUACUCUUCUGCGGCCAGGCCAGCAUCAGUUCGGACGGUCGGAUAAAGACCUCGGGAAUGUAGCUCCUCUCGGGGAGUGUUAUAGCCCGGGGUGGAAUGCGGCCAGCCUGGACUGAGGAUCUCGCUUCGGCAAGGAUGCUGGCGUAAUGGUUGUAAGCGGCCCGUCUUGAAACACGGACCAAGGAGUCUAACAUCUAUGCGAGUGUUUGGGUGUCAAACCCAUACGCGUAAUGAAAGUGAACGGAGGUGGGAACCCGCAAGGGCGCACCAUCGGCCGAUCCUGAUGUCUUCGGAUGGAUUUGAGCAAGAGCAUAGCUGUUGGGACCCGAAAGAUGGUGAACUAUGCCUGAAUAGGGUGAAGCCAGAGGAAACUCUGGUGGAGGCUCGCAGCGGUUCUGACGUGCAAAUCGAUCGUCAAAUUUGGGUAUAGGGGCGAAAGACUAAUCGAACCAUCUAGUAGCUGGUUCCUGCCGAAGUUUC